rnacentral:lncRNA from 1 species
GAAAAUGCUUGCAACAUAAAAAGCAAGUCAAAUGUCACAAACCAAUCUGGGGAAAUGUCACUGUGUAAGAAUAAGUUCCUAGGAUGCGCAACAACACGGGGAGAGAAAAAAGGGAUACCGGCAGAUUUUAGCCCGGAAGAACAGUCUGGCUGGGGACCGAACCCAGGGCCUUGCGCUUGCUAGAACCUACCUAUGCGUCUGAAGGAGAGAGUCACCACCCGCCCGCAAGCUGGCCUCUGACCUUCACGGAGAAGCCACACCAUGUGCACACUCAAAGAAUAAAAGAAUAAAUGAGGGCUGGAGAGAUGACUCAGCAGCUAAGAGCACUGACUGCUCUUCCAGACGUCCUGAGUUCAAUUCUCAGCAACCACAUGUCGACUCACAACCAUCUGUAAUGGGAUGCGAUGCCCUCUUCUGCUGUGUCUGAAGACAGCGACAGUGUACUCAC